UGAAAAGCAUAGAAAAGGAAGAGUAGCUGUAAAGGAACUUACAGAGAGCCAUUGGCGGUGGAAAAUGGCAGUGGCAAUACAGUGAACUGGCCUUGGAGCUUCCGGCUGAACCGUGCGCCCUCCAUCCAUAAGGCGGCAGGGCAGGAACCCUAAAAUACACUGAUGCAGCCUGUGGUUACAGGCAUGUAGGCCUUGGCGGCAGCAUCAUGGCAGAUAUGCAGCGAUAAGCUGCCUGCUGUUAUGGGCAUGCAGUAGGAAUGGGUGUUAUUUUUCACAUUGCUAUGUGGAAAUUGGGUUCGGAAAGCAGGCAGUAAGCCCGGACGGGUUCUCCCGUUACAGAGAUAGGCAUGGAAGUGCCGAUAAGUGCAUGUGGAAACAUGAAGCAGAGUGGUACCGCGCAGGAUGUAAUAUCUUUCGUCUCUAUU
rnacentral:ncRNA from 1 species